GGGAUGAACGCUGGCGGCGUGCCUAAUACAUGCAAGUCGAGCGAACGGACGAGAAGCUUGCUUCUCUGAUGUUAGCGGCGGACGGGUGAGUAACACGUGGAUAACCUACCUAUAAGACUGGGAUAACUUCGGGAAACCGGAGCUAAUACCGGGUGAUAUUUUGAACCGCAUGGUUCAAAAGUGAAAGACGGUCUUGCUGUCACUUAUAGAUGGAUCCGCGCUGCAUUAGCUAGUUGGUAAGGUAACGGCUUACCAAGGCAACGAUGCAUAGCCGACCUGAGAGGGUGAUCGGCCACACUGGAACUGAGACACGGUCCAGACUCCUACGGGAGGCAGCAGUAGGGAAUCUUCCGCAAUGGGCGAAAGCCUGACGGAGCAACGCCGCGUGAGUGAUGAAGGUCUUCGGAUCGUAAAACUCUGUUAUUAGGGAAGAACAUAUGUGUAAGUAACUGUGCACAUCUUGACGGUACCUAAUCAGAAAGCCACGGCUAACUACGUGCCAGCAGCCGCGGUAAUACGUAGGUGGCAAGCGUUAUCCGGAAUUAUUGGGCGUAAAGCGCGCGUAGGCGGUUUUUUAAGUCUGAUGUGAAAGCCCACGGCUCAACCGUGGAGGGUCAUUGGAAACUGGAAAACUUGAGUGCAGAAGAGGAAAGUGGAAUUCCAUGUGUAGCGGUGAAAUGCGCAGAGAUAUGGAGGAACACCAGUGGCGAAGGCGACUUUCUGGUCUGUAACUGACGCUGAUGUGCGAAAGCGUGGGGAUCAAACAGGAUUAGAUACCCUGGUAGUCCACGCCGUAAACGAUGAGUGCUAAGUGUUAGGGGGUUUCCGCCCCUUAGUGCUGCAGCUAACGCAUUAAGCACUCCGCCUGGGGAGUACGACCGCAAGGUUGAAACUCAAGGGAAUUGACGGGGACCCGCACAAGCGGUGGAGCAUGUGGUUUAAUUCGAAGCAACGCGAAGAACCUUACCAAAUCUUGACAUCCUUUGACAACUCUAGAGAUAGAGCCUUCCCCUUCGGGGGACAAAGUGACAGGUGGUGCAUGGUUGUCGUCAGCUCGUGUCGUGAGAUGUUGGGUUAAGUCCCGCAACGAGCGCAACCCUUAAGCUUAGUUGCCAUCAUUAAGUUGGGCACUCUAAGUUGACUGCCGGUGACAAACCGGAGGAAGGUGGGGAUGACGUCAAAUCAUCAUGCCCCUUAUGAUUUGGGCUACACACGUGCUACAAUGGACAAUACAAAGGGCAGCGAAACCGCGAGGUCAAGCAAAUCCCAUAAAGUUGUUCUCAGUUCGGAUUGUAGUCUGCAACUCGACUACAUGAAGCUGGAAUCGCUAGUAAUCGUAGAUCAGCAUGCUACGGUGAAUACGUUCCCGGGUCU
rnacentral:rRNA from 1 species